rnacentral:lncRNA from 1 species
UUGAGCUUGAAGACAAUUUCAACGGCUACAUUUAUGCAUGCAAGGCAAGUGUUUCAAUUUACACUAAUAAUUUACAAUAAUAUAUAUUUAAUGAUUCGACUAUAAAAUAAAUGUGGACCUCUAGCUUAAAACAGACCAAAUGCUUACAUGUUUAUGGUCUAUUUCUUCUCUCUUUACAUGUCAACUAAUGUAUCAAAAGUAAAUCUAAAAAGGAAACAAAAACCAAUAAGGCAUAUUAGGAGACUUUUGGCCAAAGGAAUGUCAUCGGAGACCUUAAACAUGAAAAGGCUACCAAACUUCAGAAAACGUAUUUGUCUUCACUCCUUUUCUUCAUCACUGACUGAGUAGAAUGUUGAGGAUUUUUCUGCAUUAAAACUAUAUAUAUAACAGAUAUUUAUAAACACCAUUUUCCUUACAACCUUGCAUAUCAUAUUAGCAAACAAAUUUCUUCAUCCAUCAUUAGUAAAUUUUAUUUCAAUAAAGCACAUUUCCUUGUUAUCCAUUCUGACAGAAGCAUUCCAAAGACAAUUACAUAUCAGCCACCAAAACAAAUCUGAAACUGAAAGUAAAAAUCAUCAACAUAAAAAGCAAGAGAUUGACCGCCAUUGAUACCUUUCUCGUUCUUGAAUAAUUGAGGAGAGGGCGAUCAAGAUGUGACCUAAAAAUUGGAAAAAGCGUCAUGCAGAAGCUCAUAAUUUUACAGGUAGAGUUCUGCAGCACUUGACAACCUCUUUAAGCCUUGUUUGCUCACCGGAGUUUCAAUCACAUCUGUAUUGCUUGAAAAAUCACCAUAUUACAAUGCUCCGAUAACCAAAUAUUAUCAGAAAAAUAUACAUAUAUACAUGCCUAAAUACAAACGAAAAUAAUGGGUUAUAGCACAGGUAUUACCACUAUCGGAUCCUUAGCAGACUCACUACAAAGUAGCAAACAUUUUCAAUUUGAUCUCCAAAAUUCUGAACCGAACAUUGUAGGUAGCAUAACAGCUAGCCCCCUCAACAAAAAAAAAAUGGUGUAUUAAAAUCAGAAAACGGUAGUAACAACGCAGGUGAUGAUAAAAAAAAAAAUUAUACUUGCAUGCUCAAUGGUAUAACACAUCAACAGGGUAAAUUAAGUUUUAGUAAGUAAGAUUAUAAAUUUAC